rnacentral:lncRNA from 1 species
UAGGAAAAUUAUUAUCUGGGGAUAUUAUUUCUUCUGUCAAAACAAUUGAUUUAAUAGUGAGAUUUUAUAUAAUUAAAUUCCAUUGGAUCAAAGCUAUGGUAUUAUAUAACUUUCUUUGAACUUGAUUAAACAAUAUACAGGUAUAAGACUCAGAUCGGAGAUAACAUAUCGACUGACUUCUCUACUGAAAUUGAAGUUUUGAGGAAGAAAACUUCAAAUAUUGAUUUGUCAUUUAUUCAUCAUGUGAUGCAAGAGAGAGGCAGAAAAGAGUAAUUGAAGAAUUAGGUCUCUGCUUCACUUCUAAUUCUCUUUCUUUUGAGGUUCCUUAUGAUCAACCUUUACACUCUUUGAAACUGUUUUAUUGGUUGUAG